AUUGAACGCUGGCGGCAGGCCUAACACAUGCAAGUCGAGCGGUAACACAGGGAGCUUGCUCCUGGGUGACGAGAGGCGGACGAGGUGAGUAAUGUCUGGGAAACUGCCUGAUGGAGGGGGAUAACUACUGGAAACGGUAGCUAAUACCGCAUAAUGUCGCAAGACCAAAGAGGGGGACCUUCGGGCCUCUUGCCAUCAGAUGUGCCCAGAUGGGAUUAGCUAGUAGGUGGGGUAAUGUNUCUCCUAGGCGACGAUCCCUAGCUGGUCUGAGAGGAUGACCAGCCACACUGGAACUGAGACACGGUCCAGACUCCUACGG
rnacentral:rRNA from 1 species